UACGGGGGGAGCAAGCGUUGUUCGGAUUUACUGGGCGUAAAGGGCGCGUAGGCGGCGUGACAAGUCACUUGUGAAAUCUCCGGGCUUAACUCGGAGCGGUCAAGUGAUACUGUCGUGCUAGAGUGCGGAAGGGGCUACUGGAAUUCUCGGUGUAGCGGCGAAAUGCGUAGAUAUCGAGAGGAACACCUGCGGCGAAGGCGGGUAGCUGGGCCGACACUGACGCUGAUGCGCGAAAGCCAGGGGAGCGAACGGG
rnacentral:rRNA from 1 species